GCAACAUUUUAAUCCUUCUUGAAUCGUCUUCAUCCAGAAUAUCUAAUCAAAUCAAAUAGUGUCCAGAGCAAGGCCAUGUUCUGUAUCCCGGUUUUAUUCGACACAAAAUAUAUACUCUCUACCACCGAAUUCAUGGCAAAUAUGUACAGCUACAGAGCACACCGCACCAUCUAAAAAAAGAGAAAAAACAGCACGCUAGCUCGACAGAGCAAUCGACCACAAGCUAU